rnacentral:rRNA from 1 species
GUCCUUAGUUACCAGCACGUUAUGUGGGCACUCUAAGGAGACUGCCGGUGACAACCGGAGGAAGGUGGGGAUGACGUCAAGUCAUCAUGGCCCUUACGGCCUGGGCUACACACGUGCUACAAUGGUCGGUACAAAGGGUUGCCAAGCCGCGAGGUGGAGCUAAUCCCAUAAAACCGAUCGUAGUCCGGAUCGCAGUCUGCAACUCGACUGCGUGAAGUCGGAAUCGCUAGUAAUCGUGAAUCAGAAUGUCACGGUGAAUACGUUCCCGGGCCUU